AUGCUUAUUGCUGCUAGUGGAGGGCUGAUUCAACAAAGAACUGGAUGGCGGUUGGAAGGGAUUUUCAUUUGCUCAAAAGUUACUAUCGGGUGAUAUUCUGUUCUUUCAUCUAGUUGGAAGCUGCAAGCUACAGGAGACGUCGUAAACGAGGAAAGUGGAG